rnacentral:rRNA from 1 species
UAGGGAAUCUUCGGCAAUGGACGAAAGUCUGACCGAGCAACGCCGCGUGUGUGAAGAAGGUUUUCGGAUCGUAAAACUCUGUUGUUAGAGAAGAACAAGGACGUUAGUAACUGAACGUCCCCUGACGGUAUCUAACCAGAAAGCCACGGCUAACUACGUGCCAGCAGCCGCGGUAAUACGUAGGUGGCAAGCGUUGUCCGGAUUUAUUGGGAGUAAAGCGAGCGCAGGCGGUUUCUUAAGUCUGAUGUGAAAGCCCCCGGCUCAACCGGGGAGGGUCAUUGGAAACUGGGAGACUUGAGUGCAGAAGAGGAGAGGGGAAUUCCAUGUGGAGCGGUGAGAUGAGUAGAUAUAUGGAGGAACAUCAGUGGCGAAGGCGGCUCUCUGGUCUGUAACUGACGCUGAGGCUAGAAAGCGUGGGGAGCAAACAGG